AACGCGAAGAACCUUACCUACUCUUGAAUCCACGGAAUUCUGCAGAAAUGCGGAGGUGCCUUCGGGAACCGUGAGACAGGUGCUGCAUGGCUGUCGUCAGCUCGUGUCGUGAGAUGUUGGGUUAAGUCCCGUAACGAGCGCAACCCUUGUCCUUAGUUACUAACGGGUAAAGCCGAGGACUCUAAGGAGACCGCCGGUGAUAAACCGGAGGAAGGUGGGGACGAUGUCAAGUCAUCAUGGCCCUUACGAGUAGGGCUACACACGUGCUACAAUGGUUGGUACAAAGGGCAGCGAAGUCGCGAGAUGGAGCAAAUCCUAUAAAGCCGAUCGUAGUCCGGAUUGGAGUCUGCAACUCGACUCCAUGAAGCUGGAAUCGCUAGUAAUCGUGGAUCAGAACGCCACGGUGAAUACGUUCCCGGGCCUUGUACACACCGCUGUA
rnacentral:rRNA from 1 species